rnacentral:rRNA from 1 species
AGAAGGUUACAAGAGCGAACGGUGGAUGCCUAGGCUUCUGGAGGCGAAGAAAGACGUGGUAAGCUGCGAAAAGCGCCGGGGAUCUGCAAACAGGAAUUGAUCCGGCGAUAUCUGAAUGGGGCAACCCGGCUGGCUGAAGGCCAGUCACCAUCAAUUUGAUGGGGCGAACGGGGGGAACUGAAACAUCUAAGUACCCCCAGGAAAAGAAAGAAAUCAUCGAUGUCGGUAGUAGUGGCGAUCGAACCCGACAGAGCCCAAACCGAUACUGUUUCGGCAGUGUCGGGGUUGUAGGAGUUAUCAUAGGAAACGAGUCAAUGAACUGGAAUGUUCUGGAAAGUUCAACCGCAGAGGGUGACAGUCCCGUAGAGGUAAGUUGAUUUGUUCGAGAUAACCACCUGAGUAGGGCGGGACACGUGGAAUCCUGUCUGAAUUUGCGGGGACCAUCCCGUAAGGCUAAAUACUCCCAGAAGACCGAUAGUGAACCAGUACUGUGAAGGAAAGGUGGGAAGAACCCCGAACAGGGGAGUGAAAUAGACCCUGAAACCGUUCGUUUACAAGCGGUCGGAGCCGAGAGGCGACGGCGUGCCUUUUGCAUAAUGAGCCUACGAGUUGUAUCUGUCCGGCAAGGUUAAGUACUUCAGGUACGUGAGCCGAAGCGAGAGCGAGUAUGAAGAGUGCGUUAAGUCGGAUGGAACAGACGCGAAACCUAGUGAUCUACCCUUGGCCAGGUUGAAGUCGCCGUAACAGGCGAUGGAGGACCGAACCGGUUUACGUUGAAAAGUGCUCGGAUGAGCUGAGGGUAGGGGUGAAAGGCUAAUCAAACUGGGAGAUAGCUCGUACUCCCCGAAAUGUCUUUAGGGACAGCCUCGACUUAGCUUCACGGAGGUAGAGCUACUGAUAGGAUGCGAGGGCUUCAUCGCCUAUCAAAUCCUGACAAACUCCGAAUGCCGUGAAGUGAUGGUCGGGAGUGAGUCGCCGGGUGCUAAUGUCCGGUGGCGAAAGGGAAAGAGCCCAGCCCUUCGACUAAGGCCCUCAAGCACAGUCUAAGUUUUUAGAACGAGGUGACAUCGCAGAGACAGCUAGGAUGUUAGCUUGGAAGCAGCUAUUCAUUUAAAGAGUGCGUAACAGCUCACUAGUCGAGCGAUGACGCGUGGAUGAUGAACGGGAAUCAAGACUGUCGCCGAAGUCAAGGCAUCUGCAAUGCAGAUGGGUAGGGGAGCAUUCUGCUCGGCGUAGAAGGUGAGCUGUGAGGCUUGCUGGAGCGUGCAGAAAAGAAAAUGUAGGCAUAAGUAACGACAAUGAAUGUAGAAACAUUCACACCGAAAACCCAAGGUUUCCUGAACAACGUUAACCGUAUCAGGGUUAGUCGGGAGCUAAGGAGAACCCGAAAGGGGAAUCUGAUGACCAAAUGGUUAAUAUUCCAUUACCCGCUAUACAGGCGAAUCGUGACCGAGGAGUGACACUGCCGCCGUCUGACGGAAUAGACGGUUAAAGGACGUAGGGCGACUGAAAUCCGACAGUACCGGGCGUCUUCGGACAACCGGACAGCGCAGGUAAUCAGACUUGCAAGAAAAGCGAAGUAGCGUUAAGCGUAUAGCGGCCCGUACCAUAAACCGACACAGGUGGGUGAGGAGAGAAUCCUAAGGUGCUCGAGUGAAUCACGGCUAAGGAACUAGGCAAAUUGACCCCGUAACUUCGGGAGAAGGGGACCCUGGCGACAGGGCGCAGAGAAAUGGCCCAGGCGACUGUUUACCAAAAACACAUGGCUAUGCGAAAUCGCAAGAUGACGAAUAUGGCCUGACACCUGCCCGGUGCCGGAAGGUUAAGAGGGGGAGUCAUCGCAAGAGAAGCUCUGAAUUGAAGCCCCGGUAAACGGCGGCCGUAACUAUAACGGUCCUAAGGUAGCGAAAUUCCUUGUCGGGUAAGUUCCGACCUGCACGAAUGGUGUAA